rnacentral:lncRNA from 1 species
GAACUCCAUGACAUCUACUGGACAGUAUGCAAGCAGAGACCGAAAGUAAUGCUCUGUCCUGCACAUCUGGAGAGCAUGAUCUUCCCUUUAGCUGAAGAGUCUCCCCCACCCCCGCCCCCAGGAUCCUGACCAUCGAAUCAGAGACUUCUGUUAGAGACUGGAACUGACCCUCAGCAAGGAUAUGUCCAACAGGUCAUGCAAACUGGCAACAGGAACUAAGCAUCAAAGCCGGCUUCACUGGUGACAACCACAAACAUAUAAAGAAGUAACACCAACUCUGUACCAUCUCUUCUGGAGAAUAAUUUAUAAGAGGAACACUUUCUAGAAUAUUCUACAAAGCCAGCAUGACCCUGCUAUCAAGACCAGAUUCAGACAACAGAAGAACUUGUAGAACAAUGUCCUUCAUGAGUAUAGAAACAAAAUAUGAGCAGACUGAGCCAGGCAGUGGUGGCGCACACCUUUAAUCCCAGCACUUGGGAGGCAAGUUUUUGAGUUCGAGGCCAGCCUGGUCUACAGAGUCAAUUCCAGGACAGCCAGGGCUUUACAGAGAAACUCUAUCUCAAAAAACAAAAAAAACAAAAACAAAAACAAAACAAAACCCAGCAGAACAAGUCUGGGGGUUCACUUUUCCGUAUCUACAAGUACAGUACUCAUUAGGAGUGGGUGUGAAAAGACCUGGCAAAUGCAUACCCCUAGUUUUGUUUAUGUCACAUCAGAGAUGUAAGACUGCAUGAAAGAAGUCGGGCACAGAAGAGUUGUUAAUGCUCAGCUCACUCUCCACACUUAAUAGCCCAGGACCACUAUCCUAGAGAAUGGCGCCACCCACAGUGGGCUGGGUCUCCCCACAUCAACGAACAAUCAAGGCAAUCCCUCAAAGCCAUAUGUAUAGUUCACAUAAAGCUCAAGAGCAAUGCAAAGGACUCUUGAUGCCAGGGCAGUGGUUGGUUCUGAGCCAAAGAAAAAUGUACUGGCCACAAGUGUGAGGAAACCCAGGAACUGGGAACAUGUCAUAUAUUGAUUGUCGCAGUGAUGGUGGAUGUAAAUUCGCAGUCAAAACUCACUCAACUGUUAUUCCCUGAAGACUGGUGAUUCCACUCCUGUAACUUUACCUCAGCAAAGCAAAGUUGACAUGUAGGUGAAUGAAGGCACUGAGCAGGCUGUGGCUGGGACCAGAGAGAGGGACCAGCCUGGCAACACUGAGGUCCACCCCCAGGAACCCAGAGGAUGGAAAGGCAGAACUGAAUUCUCUAAGUUGUCCUCUGGCCUCCAUGUGUGAACUGUGACAUGUGUACAUGUGCAUGCACACACGCACACACAUACAUAUACAGACAUAAUAUAUCUAAAAUGUAAAACAGAGAAGGCUGCUACUUGGUUUACAUAAGAAAUUUCAAUUGUAAGAUUGUCUUCGACAUGCAUGUUUUGUAGACAUCAAAUUAUUUUAAAAAGAUUAUUUUCUUUUACGGGUGUUUUUGACUGCAUGCAUGUCUGUGUACCUUGCGCUUGUGUGGUAUACAAAGAAACCAGAAAAAUGCACAGGAUCUGAAAAAGCAGUCACUACUUUUAACCAUUAAGCCACCUCCUACCCAUUUAUUUAUUCAUUUGUUUAUCUUAUUUUGAGACAGGGUCUUACUAUGUCCUGGAACUCACUCUGUAGAGCACGUUGGCCUUGAACUCAGAGAUCCACCUGGCCUCUGCCUCCCAGGUUCUAGUGCUGGGAUCAAAGGUGUAUACUACCACUGUCUGGUAAUGUGUUUAGUUUUAAAAAAUAUUCUAUUUUUAUUUGUGUAUGUGUGUCUAAGCAUGGGCACAUGUGAGCACAGGUAUUCACAAUGGCCAGAAGGGGAUGUCAGAUCCACUGAAGUUGAAGCCACAGGCAUCGUGAGCAGCCCAAGGUGGGUGGAAGAGAACCAAACGUUAGUGCUCUGCAAGAGCAGCCAGUGCCCUUAAAUACUGGGCCAUCUCUCUAACCCUGACAUUUAAUGCUUAACUUGUUUCAGUGGCCAACGAUAGGGAUAUUUUCAUGGCUAAAUUUGAAAAGAGCAUUGCAAAGGUAAAACUAAAGCUUCCAGACUUUCCUUUUUAAAAAUAAAAGCAAGAAUAAUCUGCUCUGUAGGUCGGUUGUAUUCCUUUUCGCUGAAGAUUAAGAAUUCAUCAUUCCUUAAGUCAAUAUUUUUAAGAAUUCUGAAUCACUUUAUGUAAGAAAGAAACGGACUGUGUAACUAUGACUCAACCUAGAAGUCAUCAAGGUGGAAAUAGCUUUGAAAGAAUUCUGAAGUAUUCCAGAAUUUUCUUUUAAAAGAAAAUACUAGGAUUGUACAUUAAGAAGGCAGGUCCUCCACCUCCUUCCGUAUCCACCACUUGGCUGAGAAUGUUCCAAUAUUUUUUAGUAGCGCCCAUAAUCUUCACUUCCUAACCCUGAAUUGAAAGGUUAUACUCAUUCUCGUGGUUAAAAGAAUCCUCCAGGCAAGCCAAUACAUCAAUAAAAUUCCUUUUUAAUAAUGUCC